UACGUAGGGGGCAAGCGUUGUCCGGAUUUAUUGGGCGUAAAGAGCGUGUAGGCGGCCAUACAGGUCAGCUGUGAAAACUCGAGGCUCAACCUCGAGACGUCGGUUGAAACCGUAUGGCUAGAGUCCGGAAGAGGAGAGUGGAAUUCCCGGUGUAGCGGUGAAAUGCGCAGAUAUCGGGAAGAACACCCGUGGCGAAGGCGGCUCUCUGGGACGGUACUGACGCUGAGGAGCGAAAGCGUGGGGAGCAAACAGG
rnacentral:rRNA from 1 species